rnacentral:rRNA from 1 species
AUUGAACGCUGGCGGCAUGCUUUACACAUGCAAGUCGAACGGUAACAGGUUAAGCUGACGAGUGGCGAACGGGUGAGUAGUGCAUCGGAACGUGCCCGGUCGUGGGGGAUAACGCAGCGAAAGCUGCGCUAAUACCGCAUACGAUCUGAGGAUGAAAGCGGGGGACCGUAAGGCCUCGCGCGAUCGGAGCGGCCGAUUUCAGAUUAGGUAGUUGGAGGGGUAAAGGCUCACCAAGCCAACGAUCUGUAGCUGGUCUGAGAGGACGACCAGCCACACUGGGACUGAGACACGGCCCAGACUCCUACGGGAGUCAGCAGUGGGGAAUUUUGGACAAUGGGCGAAAGCCUGAUCCAGCAAUGCCGCGUGCAGGAAGAAGGCCUUCGGGUUGUAAACUGCUUUUGUACGGAGCGAAAAGGUCUCCUCUAAUACAGGGGGCUCAUGACGGUACCGUAAGAAUAAGCACCGGCUAACUACGUGCCAGCCGCCGCAGUAA